UACGGAGGUGCGAGCGUUGUCCGGAAUCAUUGGGCGUAAAGGCGCGUAGGCGGCCACCGCAAGUCAAUUGUGAAAUCUCCGGGCUUAACUCGGAAAGGUCAACUGAUACUGCGGGCUAGAGUGCGGAAGGGGCAACUGGAAUUCUCGGUGUAGCGGUGAAAUGCGUAGAUAUUCGGAAGAACACCAGUCGGCGAAGGCAGGUCGUCUGGCCACUACGUGACGCUGAGAAGCGAAAGCAUGGGGAGCGAACAGG
rnacentral:rRNA from 1 species